AAGUAAAAACAUAUGACGUAACUCAACAUAUGAGGUACGUCACUAACCUUUAUUCCGUUUCAAUAUAAAUAACUUCAUAGAUUCGGACUGUCACAUAAGGUAAAAGGUUUGCACAGUGACAGACUGAAUUAUAAAACACUGAAAUAGUUUAAAACAUUGAGAGCAGAAAGAGGAGGAAUUCAUAACUUUUCAUCUCAUAUCUUGUCAUUUUGGAUUCAGAAAAAAACAAGAUGGGUGUUGGAAAGAUAGUAUCUAUUCUCCUGAUUCUGAUAGUGCUGCAUACAACAGUGGAAUCAACAACAACGGCCGCACCGACAACAACAGCCGCCCCAACAACGGCCGCUGCGACAACAACGGCUGCACCGACAACAACAGCUG